rnacentral:rRNA from 1 species
UACGGGGGGAGCAAGCGUUGUUCGGAUUUACUGGGCGUAAAGGGCGCGUAGGCGGUCAGCACAAGUCAGUUGUGAAAUCUCCGGGCUUAACUCGGAAAGGUCAACUGAUACUGUGACUAGAGUGCAGAAGGGGCAACUGGAAUUCUCGGUGUAGCGGUGAAAUGCGUAGAUAUCGAGAGGAACACCUGCGGCGAAGGCGGGUUGCUGGGCUGACACUGACGCUGAUGCGCGAAAGCCAGGGGAGCGAACGGG